rnacentral:rRNA from 1 species
UACGGAGGGUGCGAGCGUUGUCCGGAAUCAUUGGGCGUAAAGGGUGCGUAGGCGGGUCUUUAAGUCAGGGGUGAAAUCCUGGAGCUCAACUCCAGAACUGCCUUUGAUACUGAAGAUCUUGAGUUCGGGAGAGGUGAGUGGAACUGCGAGUGUAGAGGUGAAAUUCGUAGAUAUUCGCAAGAACACCAGUGGCGAAGGCGGCUCACUGGCCCGAUACUGACGCUGAGGCACGAAAGCGUGGGGAGCAAACAGG